GCGAUGACGAUGACGCUGCGUUCUUUGAUUUGUUCGUCGCCAAUGAAGGAUGGAUGGAUCGUCGCGUUGCCGCGCGGCGGCACCCUGGCGGCGCCGCUCGCCGUGUCCUCGUAGCCGGUGCACUCUAAAGAAUCCCUCUUUCUCUUCCCCUCCUCUUUCCUGUUCUUGCAAGAAAUCUCUUUCAUUUCCCGGAUGCGUUCCCAGGGCGCGGUACCAAGCCGCGGCAGGAAAUAGGGUUACGCCGAUCGAUGGAUCGACAGGAGAAUCCCAGGUACAGUAAGAGGCUGCGAGCCAAGGCGGAGGAGAAAUCCCCGGUGAAGCGCGAGCCGCCAAAUGCGGAUGAAAUCCUCCUCCGCUCGGCGCUGGAUCGGCCGGAAUACCAUCCGGAUUUUGGGAUCGUGAUGAGCGCCCAGCAGCUGGACGAAUUGCGGCGCCAGAUCGCCGUCUACGCCACGAUCUGCCAGCAGCUGGUGGAGAUGCACAAGGCGUCAAUGGCGAAUCCCAACGGAACUUCUAGCUCUAGACCACCGCCGCCAUCGCCGCUACCGCCGCCCGUGAAAGCCACCACUCGCCAGAGGUGGGCGCCCAGCCAGGCCCAGGUCAAGCUCCUCGAGAGCCUCUACGACGUUGGAAUGGGGACGCCACACAAGCAGCGAGUGCGAGAGAUCACGGCGGAGCUCAGCCAGCUUGGGCCGGUGAACGAGUCCAACGUUUACAACUGGUUCCAGAACCGAAAGGCCAGGACGAGGAGGAGGAAUCGGCAGCAGCCGAGUGCUCUGGGAGGCCUGGAGCCACAGAACUUUCCUCACAGGGAGCUCGAGGAGGUGGAUUCGGAGGUGGACGCCAUGGAAGGUGGUGGUGCUCGUGGGUCUCCGGGAGUGUUGAAAAGGCUCAAGCCAGAGGGCGCUGGUCCAUCAACCGAGCACGCUCCACACUCCAACGCAAGUCUCCUGUGACGGUUUUUCGAUGCAGUUCUUCGGCUUGUUUUUUUUUUUUGUUGUUGCUCGAGGACUUAUAUACCGAAAUUGUGCAGGUUUUCGGUCGUCCUCUCGAAUGUCAAGCGGUCCGUGGUUCAAUUCCAGCCAUUUUGACGUCGUGACAUUAUUUUGUGGUGUCUGGGACAACGGCGCUCCUGCGCCAUAGCUCCAG